GGAAAGAUUUUUCGGUCUGGGAUGGGCUCGCGGCCUAUCAGCUUGUUGGUGAGGUAAUGGCUCACCAAGGCGUCGACGGGUAGCCGGCCUGAGAGGGUGACCGGCCACACUGGGACUGAGACACGGCCCAGACUCCUACGGGAGGCAGCAGUGGGGAAUAUUGCACAAUGGGCGGAAGCCUGAUGCAGCAACGCCGCGUGAGGGAUGACGGCCUUCGGGUUGUAAACCUCUUUUAGCAGGGAAGAAGCGUGAGUGACGGUACCUGCAGAAAAAGCGCCGGCUAACUACGUGCCAGCAGCCGCGGUAAUACGUAGGGCGCAAGCGUUAUCCGGAAUUAUUGGGCGUAAAGAGCUCGUAGGCGGUUUGUCGCGUCUGCUGUGAAAUCCCGAGGCUCAACCUCGGGUCUGCAGUGGGUACGGGCAGACUAGAGUGCGGUAGGGGAGAUUGGAAUUCCUGGUGUAGCGGUGGAAUGCGCAGAUAUCAGGAGGAACACCGAUGGCGAAGGCAGAUCUCUGGGCCGUAACUGACGCUGAGGAGCGAAAGGGUGGGGAGCAAACAGGCUUAGAUACCCUGGUAGUCCACCCCGUAAACGUUGGGAACUAGUUGUGGGGACCAUUCCACGGUUUCCGUGACGCAGCUAACGCAUUAAGUUCCCCGCCUGGGGAGUACGGCCGCAAGGCUAAAACUCAAAGGAAUUGACGGGGACCCGCACAAGCGGCGGAGCAUGCGGAUUAAUUCGAUGCAACGCGAAGAACCUUACCAAGGCUUGACAUACACCAGAACACCGUAGAAAUACGGGACUCUUUGGACACUGGUGAACAGGUGGUGCAUGGUUGUCGUCAGCUCGUGUCGUGAGAUGUUGGGUUAAGUCCCGCAACGAGCGCAACCCUCGUUCUAUGUUGCCAGCACGUAAUGGUGGGAACUCAUGGGAUACUGCCGGGGUCAACUCGGAGGAAGGUGGGGAUGACGUCAAAUCAUCAUGCCCCUUAUGUCUUGGGCUUCACGCAUGCUACAAUGGCCGGUACAAAGGGCUGCAAUACCGUGAGGUGGAGCGAAUCCCAAAAAGCCGGUCCCAGUUCGGAUUGAGGUCUGCAACUCGACCUCAUGAAGUCGGAGUCGCUAGUAAUCGCAGAUCAGCAACGCUGCGGUGAAUACGUUCCCGGGUCUUGUACACACCGCCCGUCAAGUCAUGAAAGUCGGUAACACCUGAAGCCGGUGGCCCAA
rnacentral:rRNA from 1 species